rnacentral:rRNA from 1 species
GACGAACGCUGGCGGCGUGCUUAACACAUGCAAGUCGAACGAAGUGGCGAACGGGUGAGUAACGCGUAAUCAACCUGCCCUUCAGUGGGGGACAACAGUUGGAAACGACAGCUAAUACCGCAUAAUGAAGGAGGGGAUUGCGUCUGAUUGGCUAGUGGGAAGGGUAACGGCCCAACAAGGCGAGGAUAAGUAGCCGGUUUGAGAGGAUGAACGGCGACAUUGGGACUGAGACACGGCCCAGACUCCUACGGUAGGCAGCAGUGGGGAAACUUCCGCAAUGGACGGAAGUCUGACGGAGCAACGCCGCGUGAGUGAUGACGGCCUUCGGGUUGUAAAGCUCUGUUAAUCGGGACGCGGUACCGGAAUAGAAAGCCACGGCUAACUACGUGCCAGCAGCCGCGGUAAUUC